GGGGCCGUAGCUCAGUUGGGAGAGCGCGACGUUCGCAAUGUCGAGGUCAGGGGUUCGAUCCCCUCGGCUCCACCA
rnacentral:tRNA from 1 species